GAAGUGACCCAAAUCGCUCUAUGGCACUCUCUAUCUUCCUUUCCUCAAGUCCUGGAGGACUCUCCAAGCCUUUUUCUUCUCCAUUCCUCUCACAAAGCGAAAUUCUGCGCUUCCACCAGCAUUUCUCCCAUUCACUGCCACAGCAGAGGUGAACACCGAAAGCCGGGACUGGAGUCUCCUCAGGAUAACCCCGGUGCCUUCGCAGCCGCAGUCAAAACCACCUUAUCUAUGGUAAGUUAUCAUUUGUAUGAUCCUGAGAGGCACUCUGCAGUUCCCAGUAACAGGAAUAUGAACUGUGAGUAUUAAUGCGUCUACCAUACCAAAGAAAGAUUCUAGCUGGAAGAAACAAUCAGGGCAGUGCUUGCCUGAAAGAGGUCACUGAGGGGAGCAGGGCAGGUGUGCAAGAAGCAACCACGGCCUCGUGGCCAAGGGUAGCUGAAGAACUAACACACACAUCCAGGGAGAAAUAACCAAGGCCUUCUGCACUUCAGCUCUUCAGGGACAUACAGGCCUGCUAUAAAACAGUGCAGUCAUUCAGAUCCAUUAAAAUGAAUUUUUCCUUGUGCUUUCCUUUUUAUUCUUAGAGGUAACAUGAAAGAAAGAGUUUUCAAAAGGAGGAAGAUCUGGGAAUUCUCAAUACUGCAAGUUAGUUUGUUGGCAUUUUCAUGAUGAAAAACCACAGAUUUCACUUAGAAGACGCUGGCUGCCAAGAAGUGAUUACAACUGACCUAUGCAUGACAUUGUCAUACCAAGAUGUACCAGAACAUGAACUCUGUACACUGGCAAAUUUGAGACUAUCCCCAUUUCUAUUCUGACAACAGAUUACAGCCAACUGUUUAAAUGUUUACAGGAUCAUUUUAAGGCUCUAGAAAACCCAGUCUGAUAACUACUUGUUCCCUAAACUAAGCAGAGGAAGUAAAAACCAGAGAGAACUGAAGUAAUCAGUUAAACUGUCCCAUGGUUCCGCUAGAACAAAGAAACUGUGCUCAUAAAUCACAUCCUCUAAUAAAAAAAAA